ensembl:lncRNA novel transcript
ACUAAUGGUUUAGUAGAAACUUGGCUCUAAAUUUAUUAUGCAUUCUAUGGUACCUAACUGCCUUUUACUCACAGCAAAAAAAUAACAAAAGUUCAUAGAGCACCUAUUGUGUAUUAGGUUGGUGCAAAACUUUCAGUGGCAAAAAUUGCAAUUAUUUUGCACCAACCUAUCAGGUAUUGUGCUAAGUACUUAAAAGUACAAGUAUAAAGAGACUAUUUUUGGGAGUGGAGGGGCAGACAGGCCUGGGUGACAGAUGAGACCCUGUCUCAAAACAUAUAAAUAAAUGAAAUAAAACUUUUUUGUAGAGAUGGAUCUCACUAUGUUGCCCAGGACAGUCUUGAACUCCUGGCCUCAAGCAGCCCUCCCACCUUGACCUCCCAAAGCACUGGAAUUACAAGCAUGAGCCAUGGCUUCUGGCUAAAGAGGACUUUAAGGCUAGAUCUCAACUGGUGUUUUUGUUAUGUUACAAGAAAAAAGGUAGCUCCAAGUCAGCUUAAACAAUAUCAGAAA